UCGUUUGGGAAGCUUGAGUCGUGGCUCUGGUUGCAAUUAGAGAUUAAGGCAGCAACAAAAGUUGAGACAUAUCAAAUAUACGUAGUUGUAUGGAUGUAAGACUUGGACAACUUACAACAGGAUUAUCCAACGUCUUGAGCGAAUCUACCAACGAUGAUUGCGUAAUAUCCUGAAGAUCUCAUGGUGAUCUCAUGUACCUGAUACGAAAGUACUGAAGCUGUCGUAAAUGACAGGUAUUGAGUCCAUGAUUAUGAAGCACCAACUUUGAUGGUUUGGUAAUUUUGUCCGUCUUGAGAACUCAGCGCAUGCCAAAACAUGUUUUGUAUGGUGAGCUGGAGCAAGGAAAACGUCUCCUGUGCAACCGGUUUAAAGGUAAUCUUGAAGGCAUUCCUAAAAAAGAUCAGUAUCAAUAUUAACAUCUGGGAAGAAGAUCUUGCAUCAGAUGGGGGAGGAAUCUGAUUGCUAUUGAUGUUAAAGAAUUCAAAAACGACAGGGUAGCAUACACUGAGUUGAAAAAGUGUUGGUAAAUAUACGGAAGAUAUGAACACUUUAUGUAGGUCAGUCUAUUAGCGGUCCCAACAUCAAGAUGGUCAGGCCGCUGCUGGAGAGCUGACUUGUAAUCUGUGUGAAUGACUUGUGAGUAUUUAGCAGGCUUUAAGAACCAUAUGAGAUGAUAUCAGUGAUGGGGAGAUCAAUUGUGAUUUUUUUUUUUUUUUAGAGUGAAAUGGGUUUAAGAAUCGGUUACAAGUCCACUAUCCUCAAGUGUGUGUGCGCGCAUGUAACUGUGAGAAUACGUAAUUGAAUGUGUCUGAAAGUCUAAGAUAACUUCCAAGUGGAUCGCUGGCAACUUUAUUACACAACUGUUAUCUUCCGUUAUACAUCACAUAUCUAAAUCAAUACAAUCUCAACUCUUUCCAAGAUAUAAAGCAAAUCAUUCAUGUCCAGUUUUUCUCUUGCUGCUCCAUCAUUUAUGCACAUUAACUUUAUACAUCCAGUGGAAAAUACUCACCUCAUUUCUUUCCAGUUUUCAUUCACACAUCCUUCACAUUCAAGACCCAUGUUUCACAGCUUUGCUAUUUGAUAGUUCAUACACAAGCAUCAUACAGCCUAAACUUCACAGAGAGAGAGAGAGAGAGAGAAUCCCGAUGCUGCUAGUACAAAUAAAAGUUCCCUAAGUAUUCUCUGCCCUGUCCUUACAAUGGUCAUUACCUCUUAGUUACGGUUGCUGGGAAAGAGAAGUUGUCACCCAUGUUUAUGGAGAUUUCAAAGAAUUUACAUCAUGGAUACUUUUACAGCAUCUGUCUAUUACAUAACGAACUCCUCCUUCUUUGAUGGCUUGCUUGUGAUCACACUGCAUCUGUUAUGCAUCCUUAGUUUACAUUUAGUACACAGUAGAGCGUUGCUCAUUCUUUUUUGCUGCAUGUGCCACGUAAAAAGCAUGAAGUCCACUCUGCUGAGUGGUUGGUAUUAGGAAGGGCAUCCAGCUGUAAAAAUCCUGCCAAAACAGUCACAGAAGUCUGGUGCAAGUUUCAGCCUGGUUGGCUACUGUGGUACCAUCCCACCCAUGCUAGCAUGGAAGACAGAUGUUAAACGACAACGACGACGAUGAUUGAGCUUAACCCCUCCUCCACUAAAAACACAGAAAUUGGCCAGGAACAGAAGGCCUUUGAAUAUAGUUCUGCUUGGUUGGAGUUGACACUGGGCUAAAGAGGAACAACAGCAAUUGUUGUUAUGAUUCCCUGAUUUGCUGGUCCAGUUAAAAAUAGCAGCAAAAUUUCUCUCAAGCAGACAGGAGUGUAUCUGGGGCACAUUGAGGAGUUUUUACAGAAUAUUUGACUUUGAGGAAAAAAAUAUUUUUUAUAAAUGUUGACUACCUUACAAAACUAUAUCAGCCAAGUAAAUGAUCUUCUGUAAAUGCAUUAAAAACAUCAUAACAUAUUGAAAAUACUAUUUCAAAGAAUUAUCUCUGUUCGCUUAGAGCAUGAAAAAGACAUAUUUAGACGGAGCGAAAUAAGUAAGACAAGGUUAAUUUGCCACUUCACUUCUCCAGAAUUACAUUUGAAAACAGCCUCAUGCACAUUGAUAUUCAUCCUUAGACAUCAAAAAGAUCAUAAAUGCAACAAAAAUUUAAAACAUCUAGGUCAAAUGAAAGAGAAUCAUGGAAAUAUGGCACAUGAUAUGAAAUUAACGAAACUUGAUUAAAU